GCUGGGUGUGGUGGCUCACACCUGUAGUCCCAGCACUUUGGAGGCCAAGGUGGGAGGAUCACUUGAGCCCAGGAGUUCCAGACCAGCCUGGGCAACACAGAGAGACCCCACCUCUA
ensembl:misc_RNA Metazoa_SRP Metazoan signal recognition particle RNA